AUUGAACGCUGGCGGCAGGCUUAACACAUGCAAGCCGAGCGGGGAAAGGUAGCUUGCUACCUGACCUAGCGGCGGACGGGUGAGUAAUGCUUAGGAAUCUGCCUAUUAGUGGGGGACAACAUUCCGAAAGGAAUGCUAAUACCGCAUACGCCCUACGGGGGAAAGCAGGGGAUCUUCGGACCUUGCGCUAAUAGAUGAGCCUAAGUCAGAUUAGCUAGUUGGUGGGGUAAAGGCCUACCAAGGCGACGAUCUGUAGCGGGUCUGAGAGGAUGAUCCGCCACACUGGGACUGAGACACGGCCCAGACUCCUACGGGAGGCAGCAGUGGGGAAUAUUGGACAAUGGGCGAAAGCCUGAUCCAGCCAUGCCGCGUGUGUGAAGAAGGCCUUUUGGUUGUAAAGCACUUUAAGCGAGGAGGAGGCUACCGAGAUUAAUACUCUAGGAUAGUGGACGUUACUCGCAGAAUAAGCACCGGCUAACUCUGUGCCAGCAGCCGCGGUAAUACAGAGGGUGCGAGCGUUAAUCGGAUUUACUGGGCGUAAAGCGUGCGUAGGCGGCUUUUUAAGUCGGAUGUGAAAUCCCUGAGCUUAACUUAGGAAUUGCAUUCGAUACUGGGAAGCUAGAGUAUGGGAGAGGAUGGUAGAAUUCCAGGUGUAGCGGUGAAAUGCGUAGAGAUCUGGAGGAAUACCGAUGGCGAAGGCAGCCAUCUGGCCUAAUACUGACGCUGAGGUACGAAAGCAUGGGGAGCAAACAGGAUUAGAUACCCUGGUAGUCCAUGCCGUAAACGAUGCCUACUAGCCGUUGGGGCCUUUGAGGCUUUAGUGGCGCAGCUAACGCGAUAAGUAGACCGCCUGGGGAGUACGGUCGCAAGACUAAAACUCAAAUGAAUUGACGGGGGCCCGCACAAGCGGUGGAGCAUGUAGUUUAAUUCGAUGCAACGCGAAGAACCUUACCUGGUCUUGACAUAGUAAGAACUUUCCAGAGAUGGAUUGGUGCCUUCGGGAACUUACAUACAGGUGCUGCAUGGCUGUCGUCAGCUCGUGUCGUGAGAUGUUGGGUUAAGUCCCGCAACGAGCGCAACCCUUUUCCUUAUUUGCCAGCGGGUUAAGCCGGGAACUUUAAGGAUACUGCCAGUGACAAACUGGAGGAAGGCGGGGACGACGUCAAGUCAUCAUGGCCCUUACGACCAGGGCUACACACGUGCUACAAUGGUCGGUACAAAGGGUUGCUACCUAGCGAUAGGAUGCUAAUCUCAAAAAGCCGAUCGUAGUCCGGAUUGGAGUCUGCAACUCGACUCCACGAAGUCGGAAUCGCUAGUAAUCGCGGAUCAGAAUGCCGCGGUGAAUACGUUCCCGGGCCU
rnacentral:rRNA from 1 species